rnacentral:rRNA from 1 species
CAGCCGCCGCGGUAAUACCAACCCCGCGAGUGGUCGGGACGUUUAUUGGGCCUAAAGCGUCCGUAGCCGGCCCGGUAAGUCCCUCCUUAAAGCCCACGGCUCAACCGUGGGAGCGGAGGGAUACUGCCGGGCUAGGGGGCGGGAGAGGCCGGGGGUACUCCUGGGGUAGGGGCGAAAUCCUAUAAUCCCAGGAGGACCACCAGUGGCGAAGGCGCCCGGCUGGCACGCGCCCGACGGUGAGGGACGAAAGCUGGGGGAGCAAAGGGGAUUAGAUACCCCCGUAGUCCCAGCUGUAAACGAUGCGGGCUAGAUGUUGGGCGGGCCUCGAGCCCGCCCAGUGUCGUAGGGAAGCCGUUAAGACCGCCGCCUGGGGAGUACGGCCGCAAGGCUGAAACUUAAAGGAAUUGGCGGG